GGAAUAUUGGUACUAGUACUAUAUAUAUACGAGCCAAAGCGACAAUCACAUUCGCAGCUAGCACAAAACAAACCAAUGGGCCAACCGCCGGGGCCGUGGACGUUGCCGGUGAUCGGCAGUCUGCACCACAUCGCCGGGCAGCUCCCGCACCGGGCCUUGCGUGACAUAGCGCGGCGCUACGGGUGGCCCGUCAUGCUGCUCCACCUCGGCGAGGUGCCCACGCUCGUCGUCUCCUCCCGCUCCGGUGCGCGCGAAGUGAUGAAGACCCACGACGCUGCGUUCGCCUCACGGCCCCUGAGCUCCACCGUGCGCGUGCUCACAAACGGCGGGCGGGACAUCAUCUUCGCCCCCUAUGGCGACCACUGGCGAAUGAUGCGCCGGAUCGCCGUGACCGAGCUCCUCACGGCCCGCCGAGUCCUCUCCUUCCGUGCUAUCCGGGAGCAGGAGGUCGCCGCCAUGCUCCGCGCCAUCGCUGCCGGCGGGGAAGAGGUCGACAUGCGCGCGCGGCUGUCGGCAAUGCUGGCGGACAGCACGGUGCGCGCCGUGAUGGGGGACCGCUGCAGGGACCGGGACGUGUUCCUCCGAGAGGUCGACCGCGCUAACGAGCUUGGCAGGGGGUUCAACCUGGCCGACUUGUGGCCGUCGUCGCGGCUCCUCGUUUGGGCCAGCGGCGCCGUUCGCCGCGCCGAGGAGUGCCGUGACACUGUGUUCGUGAUCCUCGACGGCAUCAUCGCCGAGCACUUGGAGAGGAUGGACGGUGUUGGAGACGACGAUCAGGACCUCAUCGAUGUUCUCCUGAGGAUACAGAAGGACGGCGGCGGCGACCUCGACAUCGACUCUAUUAAAGCCGUCAUCUUCGACAUCUUUGCCGCGGGCAGCGAGACAUCAUCCACAACACUUGAGUGGAUCAUGGCGGAGCUGGUGAAGAACCCGAAGGUGAUGCAUCGGGUCACAACGGAGGUUCGCCAAGCUUUCGAGGCGGGCGGCACGGUGGUCGAGGAGCAGCUCGCCAACCUCGUCCCGUACCUGCAGCUCGUGAUCCGGGAGACGCUCCGACUGCACACGCCGCUGCCGCUGCUGCUCCCCCGAGAGUGCCGGGAAGAGGCAGGUUGUCGUGUGCUCGGAUACGACGUGCCGCAGGGCACACAGGUGCUGGUGAACGCCUGGGCGCUCAGCCGCGACGAGCGGUACUGGCCCGAUGCGCCGGAGGAGUUCCGACCGGAGCGAUUCGAGAAGUCGGAGGUGGAUUUCAGGGGAGCGGACUUCGAGCUCCUGCCGUUCGGUUCUGGGAGGAGAAUUUGCCCUGGCUUGGCGUUUGGACUCGCCAACGUGGAGCUCGCCCUUGCUAGUCUGCUGCUGCACUUCGACUGGGAGGCGCCGGGGCUGGAUGAUCCUGCAGGGUUUGACAUGACGGAGGCCUUCGGCGUCACUACAAGGCGGAAGAAUGGACUCGUGUUGCGCCCUGUCCUCCGCGUGCCAUUGCCAGGUGUCUAG
rnacentral:rRNA from 1 species